CCUACGGGAGGCACCAGUGGGGAAUAUUGGACAAUGGGCGCAAGCCUGAUCCAGCCAUGCCGCGCGAGUGAUGAAGGCCUUAGGGUUGUAAAGCUCUUUUAUCCGGGACGAUAAUGACGGUACCGGAGGAAUAAGCCCCGGCUAACUUCGUGCCAGCAGCCGCGGUAAUACGAAGGGGGCUAGCGUUGCUCGGAAUCACUGGGCGCAAAGGGCGCGUAGGCGGCGUUUUAAGUCGGGGGUGAAAGCCUGUGGCUCAACCACAGAAUGGCCUUCGAUACUGGGACGCUUGAGUAUGGUAGAGGUUGGUGGAACUGCGAGUGUAGAGGUGAAAUUCGUAGAUAUUCGCAAGAACACCGGUGGCGAAGGCGGCCAACUGGACCAUCACUGACGCUGAGGCGCGAAAGCGUGGGGAGCAAACAGGAUUAGAUACCCGUGUAGUC
rnacentral:rRNA from 1 species